GCUGGGUGUGGUGGCGCGCGCCUGUAGUCCCAGCUACUGGGAGGCUGAGGCAGGAGAAUCACUUGAACCCAGGAGGCGGAGGUUGCAUUGAGCCAAGAUAGUGCUACUGCACUCCAACCUGGGUGACAGAGCAAGACUCUGUCUCAA
rnacentral:SRP_RNA from 1 species